GUCCACAAGAGUGAUAUUGCCUUGUAUUACAACUGCCACUGUGACCUUGACCUUUGAACUUUAAAGUCAAUAGCGCUUAAAACAUUAUUAACGAGUAGCACCAUACCAAGUUUUGAGCAUUUUGGUUCUAGAGUGUCCAUAACAAUUUUAUCUACACGCAACUUACAUGUAGUAGGCGAGGGGAUAAUAAACUAAGUUUUAUAAAAAUUAGACAAAAAGAUCGAUUUCCCGCCAUGCAUGGCAGACUUGUACAGAAACGAUAUGUUGUCGAAAUUCUGUUUUACCCUUCAAGCCCACGAUCUUCCGUCUUAUCACUACAAACCAUUAAAGUCUGAAAUGGCCUAUAUCUGUACUCGACUGUACUGAUUUUUACUCGACCAGUCUGAAUUGGUCUGACUUUUACUUGACAUUACUCGACCCCAGUCUGAACCAUACUUGACUGUACUGAAUCGUACUUGACCCUUAUUUUUUCUGUUGAAAAUAGUCUGAACUAUUACUCGACCAGUCUGAAACAGUCUUAACCCAUUCUUGACAUGUACUCGACCUAUUUUUCCAGUCUAAACCAUACUUAACCAAAGGUCUGAACAAUACUCGACCAGUCUGAACCAUACUAGACCAAAAACCCUCUACUUUUUUUAACUGUUUAAAUAAAUUUAACUGACAUAUAUAACAACAGCC
rnacentral:lncRNA from 1 species